rnacentral:rRNA from 1 species
AAAUAUUUCCGUACUUUUUAUAACUGCGAUGUGGGGACGGAGUAGUGACACUGCCGCGAUCUGACGGAAUAGAUCGUUGAAGGCUGUAGGUAUUGGACUGGUAGGCAAAUCCGCCGGUCUAGCUGAACGCUGAUAGUACCGCAAACCUUCGGGGGCGUGGAUAGUGCAGGUAAUCAGACUUCCAAGAAAAACCGCUAAGCUUCAGGUUAUAAAAACCCGUACCGCAAACCGACACAGGUAUCCGGGAAGAGAAUUCUAAGGUGCUCGAGUGAAUCAUGGCUAAGGAACUCGGCAAAAUGGCCCUGUAACUUCGGGAGAAGGGGCGCUGGUAGCAAUAUCAGCCGCAGUGAAAAGGCCCAGGCGACUGUUUAACAAAAACACAUGGCUUUGCAAAAUCGAAAGAUGAAGUAUAAGGCCUGACACCUGCCCGGUGCUGGAAGGUUAAGAGGGGAUGUCAUCCGCAAGGAGAAGCAUUGAAUCGAAGCCCCAGUAAACGGCGGCCGUAACAAUAACGGUCCUAAGGUAGCGAAAUUCCUUGUCGGGUAAGUUCCGACCUGCACGAAUGGUGUAACGAUCUGGGCGCUGUCUCAGCCAUGAGCUCGGUGAAAUUGUGGUCCCGGUGAAGACGCCGGGUACCCGCAACGGGACGGAAAGACCCCAUGCACCUUCACUACAAUUUAACAUUGACAUUGGAUACAGGAUGUGUAGGAUAGGUGGGAGACUAUGAAGCGGCGUCGCCAGGCGUCGUGGAGUCAACGUUGAAAUACCACCCUUUCUGUAUUCGGUGUCUAACUCUGCAUCGUGGAGGACAUUGUUUGAUGGGUAGUUUGACUGGGGUGGUCGCCUCCAAAAAGGUAACGGAGGCUUUCAAAGGUAAGCUCAAUACGCUUGGUAACCGUAUGAGGAGUGCAAUAGCAUAAGCUUGCUUGACUGUGAGACAUACAAGUCGAUCAGGGUCGAAAGACGGAUAUAGUGAUCCGGUGGUUCUGCAUGGAAGGGCCAUCGCUCAAAGGAUAAAAGGUACGCUGGGAUAACAGGCUGAUCUCCCCCAAGAGCUCAUAUCGACGGGGAGGUUUGGCACCUCGAUGUCGGCUCGUCACAUCCUGGGGCUGGAGAAGGUCCCAAGGGUUCGGCUGUUCGCCGAUUAAAGUGGCACGCGAGCUGGGUUCAGAACGUCGCGAGACAGUUCGGUCCCUAUCUGUUGUGGGCGUUGGAAUUUUGAGUGGGGCUGACCUUAGUACGAGAGGACCGGGUUGGACUAGCCUCUAGUGAAUCUGUUGUUCCGCCAGGGGCAUUGUAGAGUAGCUACGCUGGGAAUAGAUAAGCGCUGAAAGCAUCUAAGUGCGAAACUAGCCACGAGAUGAGAAUUCCAUAUAGGACCGUAGCAGACUACUACGUUGAUAGGUUACAGAUGUAAAGAUGGUGACAUCAAAGUCGAGUAAUACUAAUAAUCC